rnacentral:snRNA from 1 species
GGAUGUGAGGGCGAUCUUGCUGCAACAUCUGUCACCCCACUGAUUGCCAGGGUUGAUUUGGCUGAUCUGGCUGGCGAGGCAGGUGUCCCCUUCCUCCCUCACCACUCCAUGUGUGUCCCUGCCCAAGCUGCUGCAUUCUCAGUCGAAGAGGACGAGCUUCCCCGAUAGAGGAGGACCGUUCUUCUGUCAAGGGUAUAUGAGUAGCUGCGCUCCCCUGCUAGAACUUCCAAGGAGGCUCUCAGAGUGGUGAGAUUGAGCCCCAUGUGGGGCUCUGGACCCUGUGU